rnacentral:rRNA from 1 species
UACGAAGGGGGCUAGCGUUGUUCGGAUUUACUGGGCGUAAAGCGCACGUAGGCGGAUUGGUCAGUUAGGGGUGAAAUCCUGGAGCUCAACUCCAGAACUGCCUUUAAUACUGCCAGUCUCGAGUCCGGAAGAGGUAAGUGGAACUCCUAGUGUAGAGGUGGAAUUCGUAGAUAUUAGGAAGAACACCAGUGGCGAAGGCGGCAUCCUGGACCGACACUGACGCUGAGGAGCGAAAGCC